rnacentral:rRNA from 1 species
UUAAAGGAAUUGACGGGGCCCGCACAAGCGGUGGAGCAUGUGGUUAAUUCGACGCAACGCGAAGAACCUUACCUGGGCUUGACAUCCCGAUCGCACCUUAUGGAAACAUAGGGGUCAGUUCGGCUGGAUCGGUGACAGGUGCUGCAUGGCUGUCGUCAGCUCGUGUCGUGAGAUGUUGGGUUAAGUCCCGCAACGAGCGCAACCCUUGUCCUUAGUUGCCAGCAUUCAGUUGGGCACUCUAAGGAGACUGCCGGUGUCAAACCGGAGGAAGGUGGGGAUGACGUCAAGUCCUCAUGGCCCUUAUGUCCAGGGCUACACACGUGCUACAAUGGCCGGUACAAAGGGGCGCAAGACCGCGAGGUGGAGCAAAUCCCAAAAAACCGGUCUCAGUUCGGAUUGGAGUCUGCAACUCGACUCCAUGAAGUUGGAAUCGCUAGUAAUCGCGUAUCAGCAUGACGCGGUGAAUACGUUCCCGGGCCUU